UGUUAAAUGUAAUGUUAUGAUGUUUAAGAAGAAUAAACGAGCAAAGGACCCACUGAUAAAUGGUUUUCUAUUGAAUGCGGCGAUUGACAUUUAAAUAUCCUUUUCCUAAGCAUGACAUCUCCACCUGGCCUGAUUCGAGCUCUUUAAAUCUAUAUUCGCAAUUGAAAAGUGCCUUCACAUCCCGAAGAAAAACAACUAAUUGCGAAGUAAUACCAAGUUGACCCACAACUAUUGUGUUAACGUCUUCAGAGGAUAGUAGCAUCCCGGUUAAAGUUGAAGGUUGUGUAUAUGGAUCUACACAACCACCAGAUUCAAUAACUUCCAAUAAUUUCUUUGCGCAAAAGGAACCAACAUCUUCUGGUGUUUCUCCAGCUUCACCACAAUGCUCGGCAGCAUAAGAGCAACCCUUAUUAGUUUCUGCAACUAAAGUGAUAGAAUACCCAGGACUGUUACCACAUUCAUCUCCACGGCGAACGUCUGUAUAAAUGAAAACAUCGGGUAUAAAAGGAUUUAAAACUCCGCGAGCAGAUUCUACUAAGCGAUUUGCAAAAGCGGGAGAUACUCUAGUUGAAGAAGCAAUUCCUCUGAUUCGGAAGACUCUUCCAAAUUCUGAGAGACGAAUGGGAGGUAAAGACUCUUUAAUUACAGGACAUAAAAAAUUCACUUCACCUCCUCCGCCAGGAGCAGAACCACGC